rnacentral:rRNA from 1 species
AUUGAACGCUGGCGGCAGGCUUAACACAUGCAAGUCGAGCGGGGGAAGGUAGCUUGCUACCGGACCUAGCGGCGGACGGGUGAGUAAUGCUUAGGAAUCUGCCUAUUAGUGGGGGACAACAUCUCGAAAGGGAUGCUAAUACCGCAUACGUCCUACGGGAGAAAGCAGGGGAUCUUCGGACCUUGCGCUAAUAGAUGAGCCUAAGUCGGAUUAGCUAGUUGGUGGGGUAAAGGCCUAACAAGGGGACGAUCUUUAGCGGGUCUGAGAGGAUGAUCCGCCACACUGGGGCUGGGACACGGCCCAGACUCCUACGGGAGGCAGCAGUGGGGAAUAUUGGACAAUGGGGGGAACCCUGAUCCAGCCAUGCCGCGUGUGUGAAGAAGGCCUUAUGGUUAUAAAGCACUUUAAGCGAGGAGGAGGCUACUCUAGUUAAUACCUAGGGAUAGUGGACGUUACUCGCAGAAUAAGCACCGGCUAACUCUGUGCCAGCAGCCGCCGUAA